GCCGCGGUAGCUAAGUGGUACAGCAUCGCACGCGUUAUGAGAAAGACGUGGGUUCGAAUCCCACCUGCGGCA